GACGUAGGGCGCGAGCGUUGUCUGGAUUUAUUGGGCGUAAAGAGCUCGUAGGCGGCUUGUCGCGUCGUCCGUGAAAACCUGCAGCUCAACUGCAGGCUUGCGGUCGAUACGGGCAGGCUAGAGUUCGGUAGGGGAGACUGGAAUUCCUGGUGUAGCGGUGAAAUGCGCAGAUAUCAGGAGGAACACCGGUGGCGAAGGCGGGUCUCUGGGCCGAUACUGACGCUGAGGAGCGAAAGCGUGGGGAGCGAACAGG
rnacentral:rRNA from 1 species